rnacentral:lncRNA from 1 species
CUGUGUCUCUGCCUCUCUCUCUCUCUCUCUGUGACUAUCACAAAAAAAAAAAAAAAAAAAAAAAUGAAUGAAUGAAUGACCAAAACUCCAAGUUUCCCAGCCUAUCCCCACCCCUCCAAAAGGCUGCCUCCAGAGCAAGGGAGUAGGGGUGGCUAGCAGCCCCUCCUGCCCAGGGCUGGGUGUCCUUCCCCACUCACUGCUCCCCACCCUGCCCCAUUCGGGUCAAUACAGUCUGCGGACCACGUGUGGCACACAGGACUUCAUACCUUCCCACUUACAGACCUUCUUUGCCAAAAUCCAUAUCCAUCUUUCAGGAUUUGCUUCGUGGGGCCUCCCCAUGAUCCCAACCCACUGUGAACUCUUCUUUGCACCUGGUUCAUAUUGAGUUGGUAAUCAAUUAAAAGCUUAAUGUCCUUCCUGAAAUCAUUAGAGGCGGAAGAACAGGUUGUCUGGGAUUUGCUUCGAAAGUCAUCCAGGGCUGGGGGCAGAGGGCAGGGCAUUACGAGAAGCUGAAUUGGCCGUAGGUAGUUGGCAGGUGGGUACAUGUGGGCUCAUCACACAGGGCUCCCUACUUUUGCUUCGUUGGACACUUUCACAGUAAAAAUCUGAAAAUAACUAGUGUCACAAAGGCGGCUAAGGACAGAGCCAAGAUUGGACUCCAUAUUUUAAGAUCAGUGCCCUCCCUGCCUGCUAUUGUUUUUAAUGAAUUAUUUCAUAGUUGCUGUUCCUGCUUUUUUCACUGUAUCCAAAAUUGUAUUCAUUAUUCAUGUGACAUGAAAGGCCGGUUGCUCUCCUCAAAGAGCAGGCGGUGUAACUGGGGACACAGGUAAACAGAUAAAUCACAGUGGAAAUAGUGAGUGUAACAGCCAAGAUAGGAAUCCGAGUGGAAGCGAACAGUUUUCAGGGGGGAGAGGGGGAGGGAACAGACCAAUUACGCCUGCUUCAGGGGCCCAAACAUGAAGCCCAGCCAGGAGGUGGUGUCCCAGGUGGAGCUCAAGAGCCAAGCAGGGUUAUUUUCGGUUAAAGAGUUUGGAAGCAGAGGCAAAACUCAGGAAGGGGCAAUGGUGCAGACUUGCAGAGGCCAGGAGUUUAGGGCACAGAGUGCAAGGGGUGGUGGACUCACUGACUUGCAGAGCCCACGCCCUGUGGAUGGCCAGGUAAGAUUAUCAUACUUAAUGACCUGCGGGCAGGCGCCACCUGGUCUCAAGCCUAUUCACUCACUCACUCACUCACUCACUCACUCACUCACUCACUCAUACAUUCCACCACCUUCAUCUGAAUCCUAAUACUCCUUCAAAUUCCUAGCAAUACCACCCCCUCCCCCGACUUCAAGGGAGGCCCUCAGAGCUGCCAGUGCUCCUGAGAAGACCAUGCUCCCCACCCCAACCCCAGUGCACAUCUCCUGAGCCCAAAGACCCUUAGGUGGUCUAUUAGUCUCUCCUGUGGCUGCGGUAACAAGAGUCCUAUAGACUGCAGGGCUCAAAGCAACAGAAAUGAACUCUCCCAAAAUUCUGGAGGCUCAAAAUCCACAUUCGGAAGUCAUACUUCCCUGAAGGCUUUAGGGAAGAAUCCUUCCUCUCCUCUUCCAGCUUCUGCCCCCCCCCCCCGCCCCCCCCCGCCCCGCAUCCGUUGGCUUGUGGCUGUAUCCCUCCAAUUUCUGCCUGUGUCUUCUCCUAUAGUCACUGGAUUUCAACCCAGGAUGAUUUCAUCUCAAGAUCCUUAACCAAUUAUACCUACAAAGACCCUAUUUCCAAAUAAGGUCUCAUUCAGAGGUUCCAGGUGGAUGUGAAUUUUGAGGGGACACUAUUCAACCCACUACUGAUUUCCUAUCUUCCCAAAAAAGCUGUCAGGGCAAAUCCCCUUUGCCUCAGCAUCCACAAAAAUCCAAGAAUCCCUGGUACCUCUGACUUUUACCCCUGUUCCCACUGUUACCUCAACUUUCCACAUAGCAAACAGAGUAUCUAAAUAAUUAUAUAAAGCUAAAUAUAUAAU